UUGGCCUAUCAGUAACAGGCGCCUCCUCCAAUGGCUGUGUCUUCAUAAGUAAGGACACAUUGUUAGAUCUGUCUGUCUGUUAUCAAAACAGUACCAGCACAUCAUGAACACUCAGUGUUCUGAUAAGAGAAAACAUCUCUAUCCAUAUAGUGGAUUGAACCUGCUGCUGAAUGUGCGUGAGAUUCAAACCUGUCAAACUUGAAUCAUUUAUUACAAAAACCUGACAGAAAACAAAUGUUCUUCAUCCAGCAGUAUGUGCCGCCCUGUCUGUGAGCGUCUAUUGUUGUUGGAAAACAUUCAGUUCAUCCCCAACUUCAUUAGAACUUUAAUCAAAGUCUGGCACGACUUUGAUUAAACACAGGGUAAGGACACGUGUCGCUCAUUGAUUAAGAGGCAUGUGUUUGAUUCUGGCACACUGUGGGACAAUACUGCACAAAUCAAAUUAUUUUUCUUAAAUGUUUCCUCUUGAUAAAUUAGUCUAUAAAACAACAAAGUGUAACUUUCUCAACGGUUCUGUCUUUUAAAGUGUCCUUUAAUUUAAUAUAAGUUCCAAAUCUUGGCACCCCGUGAGUCACGUUCAGGCUUUUUCAAACAUCAUUAUGUGUUAGCUCAUGCCUGAAGUACUAAUUAUGGAUAAUGAGGAUUGUCAUUCAAAUUAGAGAACAAUGAUGGGGACUAGACCCCGCCCCCUUUCCUUCGUUCCUGUCACUUUUCUAAAAAGAAAAAGAAAAGAAAAGAAAACCUAAUUAAUUAUCAGUAAUGGUGACUCAUCAUUUAGGGUUGAAGUUUGUCUAUAGUCUUAUUCAUGUGUCACGUUUCAAAGUCCGGCACUAUUACAAAUUCUUCUGUCUCCUCCAUGUCGGUCCAACACUUUAAACUUCUAGAAACAUGUGGAAACAGUUUAAGAAACGGGAGAACUAUGUUGGCAGAAUAUCUAGGCAAAUUAGUUAAAAGCUUCUUUGGAAAACAAUUUACAACAACAACAUAAAAAUGACAAAAAACAAAAAAACAAAAAAACGAGCCUUUAAAUGCGUAUCAUUUUGCCAUAGCUUUUAUUUAAUGGCAACUCUAACAACGUCAUCCUACCGGAAGUCAAGGCGAUAACUUAUAUUUUUUAUCUUUUAACCACUCUGGACGUUUUCAGUAAAGUAUCAUGCAACACUGACACCUAGUGGGUCUACAUUGUCACGGUUUUUACGGAAGAAUACUAGCUUCAUUGUGUGAAAAGGUUAUGUUGUUUCUGAGAGUGGUUGUCAUGGAGGGGGAGCUGGAGCGCCAUCUGAAGGCUGUGCCGUUUGUCCGCCUCCUGCUGGAGGAGCUCUCCCGCUCGGCUGCCGAGGUUCUUUCCAGGGCCAUUUUAUUGACGCACUUAAUCCUUUUUGGAGUCUGAGAGGAAGUGGGAGUCAAUCCAAGCAGUCGGUGAGGGAAAAAAUGGACAACUCCUCAUACAACACAGGGCAACACAUGAAAAAAGAAAACUAUUUACACUCACGCACCACCAUCAUAUUUGAAUUUUUUUAAUGAUCAUACAGUGUCAGACGAGAACACUCACCACGCGUGUAUACUUUUUCACCUCAGUUAAUGAAUUUAUGUAAAUAAAAAUGUCAAUGUUUGUCAUAGAAAUAUGUUAAUAGUGCAAUAUGUUUUAAAUAAAUAUAUACAUCUGCAGACAGCUGCGCAAAAGUUCUAAUGUAAAUAUACAGUUGGUGAGUGUAAACACAGCUAACCUUUUCACUGCUAUAUGAAUUCAUCCCUUCUUGUGUAAUUUCUCUAGUCUUAUCUGUUGCGUUUGAAUUUAUUCUUAGAAAGC